rnacentral:sRNA from 2 species
AGCACAGUCCGCCAAAAAUUAAAGGGAGGGGUCAGGACUAUUGAUCUCAUUUGGUUCCUGGGACAUUCAAACAACCAGAGCGCCGUUGAGAGAACCGAAUUUUUCCAGGUUGUUUCCCAACUCCUUGACAAGUGUCAUGUUCAAACGAUCAAUUGCAGGGGUCCAAAACAGGUUUCUCGCCUCCCCAAAACCCCCGUCACCAUUGACACUGCCGCACGACUCCGGCCCCGACCAGUAACCCAGAGGAUGGAAGCUAGGAUGCUUGAUGUUGAAUGGAGUGCUCCGUUGAGCGCGCCACUUAUAAUAAUAAACCGAUCCUUUCUCCACAAGAGAUGUUUCCUUCUUUGAGCUAGUGGAAAAGUUCUCAGUAUGAUGCUGGAGGAGGCGUGUACUGUGUAGUUAACUAAUCCGUUGAACAAGUCAGCUAAGCAUGGUAAAGUCAGCACCAACCUGCCAGGAUAUUGCCUGGCAGAUAGUAGGUUUCAAUUAUCAAUCUCUUUACGUCCGCGUAUAGG